ACAAUAUUAAAAUGGAUACUAGAGAGAGAGGAUGGCAUGGAUUGGAUUGAUCUGGCUCAGGAUAUGGAUAUUUGCCAAACAGUAAUGAUGUGAGCACAGAAGAAUCUCCGUUGUUAAGACCCAUUACCAGGAAACGACCAGUGAAAGUAAACUGACUUAGCAAGUGUUGUAUUACUCUGUAAAGUGUGUUGAUUAGGAGAGAGACCACUAAGAAGACCAAGACAUAGAGAAUCUGAAAAUGGCAAAGGACAGGAGAGACUGCCCAUUGGCAUUGCUAAUACUUUGAAUGACAUCUUUGAUAUUCAGAUGGCUUCAGAAUGUUCCAGUGUUCAGAUGGAGAGCAUAUGAAGAAAUUCUGCUUUGCUGAGCCCCUGCGAAGACCUACUGCUGUAACCUGGUGCAGGGUAUUCUUCAUGUUCUUACAUCAUUCUGCCAGUUUUCAGGUUUCUUUAGUCUGUUUCUGAGGUUGAGCUUGUUGUGGAAGUUGUUCAUACUCACUAUGAUGCUGGAAUACAAUAUUCAUAAUUAUUUGACACUAGUUUUAGUCUACUGGCCCUGAUAGAGAUUUACAUUUGACUGACCUGGAGAUGCCAGAAGAGGAAAGUAAAGAUGAGACCAAUGCCAAAUCCCAUGAACCAAGAUACAAAGAGGAAUGAACCACACUUAAGAUGGCGUGAGACUUAGCCUCUUGGCAGUUUGGCUGUAAAUGGCUCAUUAUACCUGCCCCAGAUGAUUUGUGCAAGAAAAUGGACCAUUUGGUAUGAGAAUUGACGAGAGAAAUUAAACUACUCAGAGGAAUCCUACCCCAAUGCCACUUUUUCCACCAUAAAUUUAACUUGA